AGCACCAUAUUGAAAUAUAGGGAAGGGAAUGCCCCCAUUCUAGGCUACACUGUAGCGCAAGAAUUCUGGCUCCUUGCUGCACAGCUGACUUGUGCCAUUUUGCUGUUGCUUUGUGGAGUUAAGGAGCACGU
ensembl:snoRNA